CUCCAGAAACAGGUGAUUCUCCUUCUGACGAAUCAGCAGAAGGUCAGUCCCAGCGUCUCGCUGCCUGCGUCGUUCCCUCUCUUCAUCUCCUCGCGCAGGCGUUUGAGCGUCUCACAUCAUCUCAAGAAGAAUGUGUAACCAUAUAGCCAGCUGGGGACUUAGGAAAUACGCCCUGAGUUCUUAUCUCUGGAAGUUGAACUGAUAAGAUUGACGCCAAACUGAUUUUUCUAAGAUAUGGUUAUCAUUCUACUCAAUUCUUUAACCAGUGAGUGGUAUCCUGUUGAACUCUGGAUGGAAGGAAUGUGAACCAGCUUGAACAAGGACCCUGGGGAAUGGCAGAGCCUCCAAAUAGAAGCAAUCUAUAUUCCUGAAAGAUGUUCAGAAGAGGAGGUGCCUCCCUGUCUAUGUAUUUCUGGAAUGUUAUGCAAGAGACAAACUUCUUGGAUGUGUUACAAGUGCGUAUCACAGGGAGAAGCAGACUAGUGCCUUCUAACCAUAUCCUCUAAGGACUACCCAGAAGAUUUGUAUAAUAUCACCCUGAGAUGGAGUUUACUGUGGGGCCAGUGAUUAAGCUUCCUUCAUGAUGGAUCUGAAAUAUAAUCUAAUACAGUUGCACAAGUCUAUUUUCUUGAGUAAUUUCCACAUUCUCUUGGGUAAUUUUCACAUCUCAUAGGAGGCUCAGUUAUAAAUAAAAUUAAUGAAGUUU